CUUUUGUCCCAUAGUAAACAGAAAAAAACAGAAGCUGCUUUUGUCUGGCAGUGCUGGUCUUCACCCAUGUAGUCCAUUAUCCAAGAAACACUCUUCACAUAUCUUCUUGCUCUCUGGAUGUUUACAGAUUCCCAACUCCAAACUCCUCUUUUAUGCUUUCAUGUUGCUUGUUAGAUGCACACUGAAUCAUAUUUUUAUAGAAUCAAGAAUCCGGAAUGGUCAUUUCAGACGCAGAGAAAA